rnacentral:rRNA from 1 species
UGCAGUCGAACGAGAUCCUUCGGGGUCUAGUGGCGCACGGGUGCGUAACGCGUGGGAAUCUGCCCUUAGGUUCGGAAUAACAGUUAGAAAUGACUGCUAAUACCGGAUGAUGACGUUAAGUCCAAAGAUUUAUCGCCUGAGGAUGAGCCCGCGUAGGAUUAGCUAGUUGGUGUGGUAAAGGCGCACCAAGGCGACGAUCCUUAGCUGGUCUGAGAGGAUGAUCAGCCACACUGGGACUGAGACACGGCCCAGACUCCUACGGGAGGCAGCAGUGGGGAAUAUUGGACAAUGGGCGCAAGCCUGAUCCAGCAAUGCCGCGUGAGUGAUGAAGGCCUUAGGGUUGUAAAGCUCUUUUACCCGGGAUGAUAAUGACAGUACCGGGAGAAUAAGCCCCGGCUAACUCCGUGCCAGCAGCCGCGGUAAUACGGAGGGGGCUAGCGUUGUUCGGAAUUACUGGGCGUAAAGCGCACGUAGGCGGCUUUGUAAGUUAGAGGUGAAAGCCUGGAGCUCAACUCCAGAACUGCCUUUAAGACUGCAUCGCUUGAAUCCAGGAGAGGUGAGUGGAAUUCCGAGUGUAGAGGUGAAAUUCGUAGAUAUUCGGAAGAACACCAGUGGCGAAGGCGGCUCACU